GUUGCCGUAGCUUAACUACACCGAAAGCGCGGUCCUGAAGUUGCCGUGAUGGAAAGCUAUUUCCCGGAGACA
rnacentral:tRNA from 1 species